rnacentral:ncRNA from 2 species
AAAGACCUUCAGGGUUAGGUGCAAUUCCUUACCGGCGGUAUGGCUUUAGCCGAGCCCGCGAGCCCGCAAGGGCAGAUCUGGUGAGAUGCCAGAGCCGACAGUUAAAGUCUGGAUGGGAGAAGGUGAUU